rnacentral:rRNA from 1 species
CGGAGGGAGCUAGCGUUGUUCGGAAUUACUGGGCGUAAAGCGCACGUAGGCGGCUUUGUAAGUUAGGGGUGAAAGCCUGGAGCUCAACUUCAGAAUUGCCCUUAAGACUGCAUCGCUUGAAUCCAGGAGAGGUGAGUGGAAUUCCGAGUGUAGAGGUGAAAUUCGUAGAUAUUCGGAAGAACACCAGUGGCGAAGGCGGCUCACUGGACUGGUAUUGACGCUGAGGUGCGAAAGCGUGGGAGCAAACAGGAUU